rnacentral:rRNA from 1 species
AUGGCACGGAGCGGUGGUCUACUCGUACCCACCCCGUGCUCCGCUUCCGCCUCGUCAUCUCAUUUCCAGAGAGAGGGAGAGAGAGGGUUCGAGAGUCUUCCAGAGAGCGGAUCCAUCCAGAGAGUGCUAGGGUUUUCUCUCCGGGCGGCGGCGAUGUCGAUGGCGGCGGCGGCGAGGGCGGCGGCGCGGGCCCCGGGCAGGGCGGCGGCGCGGUUCGUGCAGACCAGGCUCCGCUCCUCCGGCAAGGUGCUCAGCGAGGAGGAGAGGGCCGCCGAGAACGUCUACAUCAAGAAAAUGGAGCAAGAGAAGCGGGAGAAGCUCGCACGCAAGCAGGGUCCCAGCACUGGAGAGCAAGCUCCGUCCACCCCAAGCGCUGGAGCGGGUGACGUGAACACCGCAGGCGCCGGUUCAACCACGUCGGCAUCCGCAGCAGGCACGUCGACCGACAAGAACAGGAACUACGCCGUGCUGGCUGGCACCCUGGCCGGCCUGAGCGCCCUGGGCUGGUACCUCCUGUCGAAGCCCAAGAAGACGGAGGAGGUCGUCGACUGA